CAUAAUUCUGAAACCCCUGAAGAACGGGAGACCACACCAGCAGUAGAAAAGCACACACACAUCUUGGAAGAUGUUGACGGUGAGCUUGAAAUGGAGGAUGUGGCUCCCUCUUGUGAAGUUGAAGCAGGUUCAUCAGGUGGCAUUGCAGGAGUCAAUUCUGUACAGAAUUUGCAUAAUCAAUUAGAACAGCUUUUUCCACUGCCCUUUGUGCCUCCUUUGCCUCAGGAUGUGCCACCAACAUCACCACCAUUGCCAACAUCACCGCCUCCACCUCCACCUCCACCUCCACCACCUCCUCCUGCUAUCCCACCUUCGUGUGGAAUUCCUGAUCCAUACAUUACUGGCAUUGAUUCAAAUCUUUAUGCAAAUUCACAUAAUAUGCAAGAUGACUUGAGAGAAUCUGUGGGUCAGCAGCCAGCAGCACCAAGAAUCAACCCAUCAAUGUCCAAUGGAGUGCAUUAUCAUGCUACUGAAUGUAGGGAUCAGAUGCAGAUGCAGCAUUGCGACUCCACAAACUCUUUCAACAGUUACUCUGUACAUCCAGUGCACACUGAUGGACCAAACUUCCACCACAAGGCUUAUCCUCCAAGGCCACCACACCCACCACCUUCAAAUCAAUUCUCUUAUGUUCAGGCAGGCCAGCAUGUGAAGUCUCGGAGAGAGACCCCGCCUCCUUACCACCACAGAUUCCACUCGUCACAUAAUGCUGAUGGUGGAAACUUUUAUAAUAACCAUGAGCGAAUGAGGCCAGCCCCAUAUGAACUCAAUGAGAGGUGGAGAUACCCUGCACCCCCUUUUCCUGGUCCACGACAUUCAGAAAAGGGCAGGGCAUCUUACCCACCUGAAUCAUAUUGUGGCCCCCCAAGAGAGCCGGAUAGAAUACCUCAUCAGGGAUGGUCAUUUCCUGCCCAGGGGAUGCAUCACAGGAACUUCAUGCCUUUUAGGCCACCACCUGAAAGUGCAAGUCCAGUGUCCAAUAGAGUUUCAAGCAUUUGGCGGCCAAGAUGAUCAGCUGGUACUGCCAUGGCUGAGAUUGAAUACAUUUUUUGUCUGGCUUCUCGGCUUGUUCAAAAGAGCAAGUCUAUUUGGGUUAAUGCUUCGCGUGGAAGGGAUCAUGGUUUGAGGAUUUGGCUCAGAAGAUCAGCACGUAUUUGACAUGCUUCAUUGGUUGUAUAUACGUAUCUUAUCAACUCUUUGCGAAAUGCAGAGGGCUGUGAGACAGUCAUCACAGAGAUUUGGGAGCUGUAACCAAACUCUAGACUGUCAUG
rnacentral:misc_RNA from 1 species